rnacentral:sRNA from 1 species
UAAAGAACAACGCAAAAAUCACGUUCAAGUCUCUCGAAUAUGCCGGUCCGAGGUGCGCUUUACAGCCUGCGCCCAGGACUACUGGUGACUGAGGAACAGAAACGAAGAUCAAAUCGAACAAUCUUGGGUGCGUUGCUUUCCUGGCAAUAGCCAAAUGGGGAGGAUCGCAAUGAUUGAACGUACAU